GGCUGUUCUUGUGUGAUGCACUCUGGAAUCAGGCUCCCUCCUCUCUGGUUCCAGGUGCGUCACCCGAGAACUGCA
rfam:Myotis lucifugus cont2.10049, whole genome shotgun sequence.